AAAAUCGUGAGGGUUCAAGUCCCUCUAUCCCCAAAAAGGC
rnacentral:tRNA from 1 species